rnacentral:lncRNA from 1 species
CCCCCGGAAACUGCCGCCGCCGCCAACCGCCGCCGGAGAAGGAGCGGACCUCCGCCGCCGGAAUUGCACACCCUCCCACCGCCCGCCGCCGAUCGAUCUUCCCCCUCCUCCUCAGAUCUUCUCCUCCGAGUCGACGACGGUGGAAGGUGAGGGGAUCGGCAGCUGAGAGACGACGACUCCAUCUCCCUGUGUUUUUUUUAUUGUUCUCAGCCCUACGCCAUAGAAAUCCUCGACAUAUUUUUUUAUUUUAAAAAUGACUAAAUUCAACGUAAAUUAAUUGGCCCCUUGCUUUGGAAUCCCUAAAAAAUCCUUCCAUGACAAAAAAGGUUCGAUUCUUAUCCUUUUUCGAACCCAGGCCCCUCGGUUAACCAUGGUUCGGAAUGCUCGGUUAGUCAAAAGAUCCAACGGUCAGGACUAUCCGGAUUUGGCGAUGAUGGAGACUAGUGGGCCAAAGCUUAAGGCGAGUUCGAGAUGGGCCGAAUGGCCAUUAGUGGGCCUGAUAUGUACGAACAUCGAGCGGCCCGCAGCCCGCAGCAUAUAAACAACAGCACCCGUACGAAGAGGGGUACACAGAGACCCCCGUCCGCACUGCGCUCGGCCGGAGCUGAUCGUCCGAUUCCUGAGAGGCGAGAGGAGAUAAUCUCCGCCGUCUGGUUCGUCCGUCUGAAGCCGGGGAGAUGCUCUCUCUCGCUCUAGAGGAGGACGGCAGCCAGGGUGAUCGCCAGCGUGAUGGAGAACACCAGGGCCUGUAUACCCCAGAAGAGUUUUAGCGAGAGAGAGAGAGAGAGAGAGAGAGAGAGAGAGAGAGAGAGAGAGAGAG